GUCGUGUUGGAUAAGGAGUGUCGUGUUGGAUAAGAGUGUCGUGUUGGAUAAGGAGUGUCGUGUUGGAUAAGGAUGUCGUGUUGGAUAAGGAGUGUCGUGUUGGAUAAGGGGUGUCGUGUUGGAUAAGGCGUGUCGUGUUGGAUAAGGAGUGUCGUGUUGGAUAAGAGUGUUGGAUAGGAGUGUCGUGUUGGAUAAGGAGUGUCGUGUUGGAUAAGAGUUGUCGUGUUGGAUAAGAGUGUCAUGUUGGAUAAGGAGUGUCGUGUUGGAUAAGGAGUGUCAUGUUGGAUAAGAGUGUCGUGUUGGAUAAGGAGUGUCAUGUUGGAUAGGAGUGUCGUUUUGGAUAAGGAGUGUCGUGUUGGGGGGUUUCUGCAUGUCAGAAGGGGAUUUGCUGUCUAGACCACGCAUCGAAAGACAGACAGACAGAGAGAGAGCGAGAGAGGGAGAAAUAGAAAGAGAGAUAUAGUGAGAGAAAGACAGGGGAGGAAGAGAAUGACAUCAGGGGCGAAAUCAGGUACAUCUGCUCAUAUUAGUGAAGUUCCCUGGUAUGGGAGUAGAGAGAGAG
ensembl:lncRNA